GACGAACGCUGGCGGCGCGCCUAACACAUGCAAGUCGAGCGAGCGAGAGAGAGCUUGCUUUCUCGAGCGAGUGGCGAACGGGUGAGUAACGCGUGAGGAACCUGCCUCAAAGAGGGGGACAACAGUUGGAAACGACUGCUAAUACCGCAUAAGCCCACGACCCGGCAUCGGGUAGAGGGAAAAGGAGCAAUCCGCUUUGAGAUGGCCUCGCGUCCGAUUAGCUAGUUGGUGAGGUAACGGCCCACCAAGGCGACGAUCGGUAGCCGGACUGAGAGGUUGAACGGCCACAUUGGGACUGAGACACGGCCCAGACUCCUACGGGAGGCAGCAGUGGGGAAUAUUGCACAAUGGGGGAAACCCUGAUGCAGCGACGCCGCGUGGAGGAAGAAGGUCUUCGGAUUGUAAACUCCUGUUGUUGAGGAAGAUAAUGACGGUACUCAACAAGGAAGUGACGGCUAACUACGUG
rnacentral:rRNA from 1 species